GACGAACGCUCGUCGGCGCGCCUAACACAUGCAAGUCGAACGAGCGAGAGAGAGCUUGCUUUCUCGAGCGAGUGGCGAACGGGUGAGUAACGCGUGAGGAACCUGCCUCAAAGAGGGGGACAACAGUUGGAAACGACUGCUAAUACCGCAUAAGCCCACAGGUCGGCAUCGACCAGAGGGAAAAGGAGCAAUCCGCUUUGAGAUGGCCUCGCGUCCGAUUAGCUGGUUGGUGAGGUAACGGCCCACCAAGGCGACGAUCGGUAGCCGGACUGAGAGGUUGAACGGCCACAUUGGGACUGAGACACGGCCCAGACUCCUACGGGAGGCAGCAGUGGGGAAUAUUGCACAAUGGGGGAAACCCUGAUGCAGCGACGCCGCGUGGAGGAAGAAGGUCUUCGGAUUGUAAACUCCUGUUGUUGAGGAAGAUAAUGACGGUACUCAACAAGGAAGUGACGGCUAACUACGUGCCAGCAGCCGCGGUAAAACGUAGGUCACAAGCGUUGUCCGGAAUUACUGGGUGUAAAGGGAGCGCAGGCGGGAAGACAAGUUGGAAGUGAAAUCUAUGGGCUCAACCCAUAAACUGCUUUCAAAACUGUUUUUCUUGAGUAGUGCAGAGGUAGGCGGAAUUCCCGGUGUAGCGGUGGAAUGCGUAGAUAUCGGGAGGAACACCAGUGGCGAAGGCGGCCUACUGGACACCAACUGACGCUGAGGCUCGAAAGUGUGGGUAGCAAACAGG
rnacentral:rRNA from 1 species